rnacentral:rRNA from 1 species
UACGUAGGGUGCGAGCGUUGUCCGGAAUUAUUGGGCGUAAAGAGCUUGUAGGCGGUCUGUCGCGUCUGCCGUGAAAUUUCGGGGCUCAACCCCGAACUUGCGGUGGGUACGGGCAGACUAGAGUGUGGUAGGGGAGACUGGAAUUCCUGGUGUAGCGGUGAAAAUGCGCAGAUAUCAGGAGGAACACCGAUGGCGAAGGCAGGUCUCUGGGCCACUACUGACGCUGAGAAGCGAAAGCAUGGGGAGCGAACAGG